GCUUGGUCUUCAAAGAGCAUAUGGAGGAUACCUUGGCACUGUAAGGCGAUGAAGGACGUGUCUGGCUGCGAUAAGCCUCGGGGAGCUGUCAAAGAAGCAUUGAUCCGGGGAUUUCCGAAUGGGACAACCUAUCUGGAGUAAUGUCCGGAUGUUAAAUCGUUAUACCGGGGGAACUGAAACAUCUUAGUACCUCGAGGAAAAUAAAUCAACAGAGAUUCCCAUAGUAGUGGCGAGCGAACUGGGAAGAGCCUAAACCUUCCGAUUUAUCGGGAGGGGUUGCGGGACCAUAAUGUGAUACCUCAAGACUUAAUUGAAAUUUGCUGGAAAGCAAGGCCAUAGAAGGUGAUAGCCCUGUAAAUGAAAAGUUAAGAGGGUCUAUUGGUAUCCCAAGUACUGCGGGACACGUGAAAUCCUGUAGGAAUCCGGGUGGACCAUCAUCCAAGGCUAAAUACUAAACAGUGACCGAUAGUGAACUAGUACCGUGAGGGAAAGGUGAAAAGAACCCAGGAAUGGGAGUGAAAUAGAAUUUGAAACCGUAUGCUUACAAUCAGUCGGAGCCUGGUAGCAAUACCGGGUGACGGCGUGCCUAUUGAAGAAUGAGCCGGCGACUUACAGUUGCAUGCGAGCCGAAAGGCGUAGGGAAACCGAGUCUGAAUAGGGCGUUAGUAUGCAGUUGUAGACCCGAAACCGCAGCGAUCUAUCCUUGGGCAGGAUGAAUUCCAAGUAACAUUGGGAGGAGGUCCGAACCGGUUGAUGUUGAAAAAUCAUCGGAUGACCUGAGGAUAGCAGUGAAAAGCUAAACGAGCGCGGAGAUAGCUGGUUCUCCCCGAAAUGGUUUUAGGGCCAGCCUUAAGCUUAUCUUUGCGGAGGUAGAGUACAGUUUGAACUAGGGCCCCGAAAGGGGUUCCAACUUCUUGCUAACUCCGAAUGCCGCAGAUUAAAUGCUUAGGAGUGAGACUACGAGGGAUGAGCUUCGUGGUCAAAAGGGAAACAGCCCAGAUCGUCAGCUAAGGUCCCAAAAUCUAGACUGAGUGGUAAAGGAAGUAAAGUUGCCAAAACAGCCAGGAGGUUGGCUUAGAAGCAGCCACCCUUUAAAGAGUGCGUAACAGCUCACUGGUCGAGCGGCUUUGCGCCGAAAAUUCACGGGGCUAAGUCUAGUACCGAAGCUACGAAUUCAUUUUGAGUGGUAGGGGAGCGUUCUGUUAUAGAGUGAAGGUGUGGUGUGAACCAUGCUGGACGAAACAGAAGUGAGAAUGUCGGCAUAAGUAACGAAUAGACAGGUGUAAAUCCUGUCCGCCGAAAGUCGAAGGUUUCCUGGGGAAGGUUCGUCCACCCAGGGUUAGUCGAUCCUAAGCUGAGGCCGAAAGGCGUAGGCGAUGGAAAUCGCGGUUAAUAUUCCGCAACCACCUUUAUUGUUAACCAAAGGGACGCAGGAGGAUAAUCCGUAACACUUAUCGGAUUGUGGCACCCCAAGAGCAAUCGCGGGGGACGCGGAUGAGUCCACACUGACGAGAAAAGCUUUGGGCAUUGGUAAGGGUGAUCGUACUACAUACCGACACAGGUAGACUAGCUGAGCAAGCUAAGGCGCGCGAGAUAACUCUCUCUAAGGAACUAGGCAAAAUAUUCCCGUAACUUCGGGAGAUGGGAACCCUAUUAAUUUAGGGCACAGAAAGCAGGCCCUUGCGACUGUUUAACAAAAACACAGGUCUCUGCAAACCCGUAAGGGGAAGUAUAGGGGCUGAUGCCUGCCCAGUGCUGGAACGUUAAGGGGCGUCUUGAGAUUAUAUCAAGGGACAAACCGAAGCGCCAGUGAACGGCGGCCGUAACUAUAACGGUCCUAAGGUAGCGAAAUUCCUUGUCGGGUAAGUUCCGACCCGCACGAAAGGCAUAACGACAUGGGCGCUGUCUCGGAGAGAGACUCGGUGAAAUUGGGAUGUCCGUGAAGACACGGAUUACCUGCAUCAGGACAGAAAGACCCCGUGGAGCUUUAC
rfam:Candidate division WOR-1 bacterium RIFOXYC2_FTLL_46_14 rifoxyc2_full_scaffold_885, whole genome shotgun sequence.